UCCCUGGUGACUCAGCUGGUAAAGAAUCUGCCUGCAAUGCAGGAGGCCUGGGUUCGAUCCCUAGGUUGGGAA
rnacentral:tRNA from 1 species